AGAGAGCAGAAAAGAGCUAGUUUCUUCAGAAGACAGAAAGAAUUCGAGAUGAAAGACAAUAAUGAGACGGAACGUGGAUCUGAAUAGUUUUGUCUUGGAGCGGCGCGAUCAUUAAUUACUCUCGAAGUUUACCCUCUCAACGGUUAGAUAAAUCACCGGAGAGAAGGUAAAGGGGCAAAAAGAUGAUCGCUGGGCUUCUCCACAUCCGUCAAGGGCCAGAUCCGUGAUCACGGCCCAUCAACCAAAAGCCCAUUCGUCACCUACAUAAUACAAGCCCAACUUAGCCCGCAAGAACAACUCAACCUGCAAAAUUCACCACUUCACCACCUCCAUGGCAAAUACCAAGGAAACAGAGGGGCAAGUCAUGAAAAGACUCAAAAGUACAAGCAAAUGGGAGCAUGACAAAGGUUAGACUUGCUCAUCACUUAAAAAGUUAUAAGAUUUGAUUUAUCGUUAUU
rnacentral:lncRNA from 1 species